GACGAACGCUGGCGGUAUGCUUAGCACAUGCAAGUCGAACGAGAAGUUUUUUAUUGAACCUUCGGGGGAUAUAAGAGACAGACAGUGGCGAACGGGUGAGUAACGCGUGGGCAACCUACCUAUCGGAGCGGGAUAGCCUCGAGAAAUCGGGAGUAAAACCGCAUAACACGGAUAUAUCGCAUGAUGAAUCCGUCAAAACUCCGGUGCCGAUAGAUGGGCCCGCGUCUGAUUAGCUAGUUGGUAAGGUAAGGGCUUACCAAGGCAACGAUCAGUAGCCGGUCUGAGAGGGCGAACGGCCACACUGGAACUGAGACACGGUCCAGACUCCUACGGGAGGCAGCGUGGGGAAUAUUGCGCAAUGGGGGCAACCCUGACGCAGCAAUACCGCGUGAGUGAAGAAGGUUUUCGGAUCGUAAAGCUCUGUUAUUGGGGAAGAAGCAGGACGGUACC
rnacentral:rRNA from 1 species